GCCGGCGUGGCCCAACCUGGCAGAGGCACUGGUCUUAGAAACCAGUUGAUGAGGGUUCGAAUCCCUCCGCCGGUACCA
rnacentral:tRNA from 1 species